rnacentral:rRNA from 1 species
AUGCAGAUGUUCGGGAUGUCAGAGAAGGAGAUGGAGUACGGGGUUGAGCUUUUCAACCGUUGCUCUCCAACAAUUAAUUAUGCUGGUACCUUGGUGAAGGAACUGCCUGUGUUCUCUUCAUUAACCACUGUCUAUGGGUGGCCCAAGGAAGUGCCCUGCACCGAGGAGUUCCCACACUCCGUGACCAACCCUUACGGUCGAACAAAGCUUGCACAUACAACAUUUUCUGAAGCUGUAAUGCCCUCCUCCCCUCCUCCAACCCCCUUACAUGGAAUGUGUAUCCUUCAGGACAACUCAAGCCCCUCCUCCUCUCCUGUACAUGAAUGUGAGAUGCUGCGCAUGCAAGAUCUGAGCCAAAUGGCAUAUUGUAAUCUUUCUAUUGCUGGUUUUUAUCUAGCUAGCCGUCGCGCCUCCUUCCGCUUCGGCUGCACAAAGCCCCCCUCUUCAUCUAGCCGGCUGCACAAGGGAGGUGACUGGGCACCUGCAAAGGAAGACGAGGCGGGCGACCACCGGGACAGCCAACCGAUGGUGGGCGUUUGUGGUGGUCAGGCCGCGGAUGGCAUGGUCAUGGAACGGCGACUGGGCAAAGGAGCGGCGACGCGCGGCACCAGGCGGUGGGAGUUCGCGGGGAGGAGGCGACCGCGUAAAGCUUGCCAGCAUCCUCAGUUCCUCACCACGCAAGAGUGGUCGUGCGCCCCUGAAGUGCGCCUCAGUUCCUCAUCGGCACAUCCCGGCGAGCGCCACCCCAGGAAGUUGCGUCACCGCCAUGCAUCCCCCGUGCCCCGAGUGACGUUUCACCUGGUGUUUCUCCCCACGGCAGCGCAAAAGGGAACCAACGCGUUGUCUGCCAGUACGGGCGAGCGCGAGGAUGAUGCUGACGGACCUGCCGACCUGCACUUCUUUCUUCCGGCGUUGCUCUCAGUUUGGUCCCAGGCGGUGUGCUACCGUAGUACCGCCUCCUCGGCGAGCGUGCAGCGCCAAUUUCCAACUUGGAGCCGGCGGUGGACGAGCCCACGGCCUGCUGUAUUCCAGCGGCGAGCCAACAGCAAGCUGCUGCACUGUUGCGCCCCUCCUUUCCCCACAAACUCUCAACUCCUCCUCUGUCCCUCGAGCGGCAAGCAGCAAGCUAGCAAUUCUCAGGCGGCAGCUCGGCAGUUGGUCGUCACUUCGUUGACAGCAGUAAUAACACUAAGAGUAUUACCUUCUCCUUUACCUGACGAGCUCGCGCCAGAGGUCAUCGUGAUGUGGCAACGGCAUGAGCGCGAGUGUGCGUGGGUGGCGACGGUUCGUGGGGAGGACGUGGAUUUGGAGGUCCCAGCUCCUGGCAGUGUGUGCAAGGAAUUCAUGACCAACAUAUCUAAUAUAGCAUGGAAUUCGACUGUAACAGUUUGGUCUCUUGAGCUCAUAAGAUCUGUUCUUAGCAACAGAGCUGGUUAUGAACAUACCUGUCUUUAA